AACACUCAGUUUCCCAGGUUACAAGAUGCUGCUCAUAACCUCUUAGGGCAAAAAAAUGUUUGCCUUACAUGUGAUUAUCAAACUUGAGGGUAGCAAAUGGUCAGUUCUCUGAGGUCUUUAUCAAACCACUUCUCUGUCUCUGCCUUAUGAGAAGAAACGAGUCAUGAUGAGUUAGGGAAGGGAGGAGGAAGCCUGAUCCAGCUGUCUGAGCGUCUCAUGUCUCGUCUGUCUGCACACGGAAUCUGUGGGCUGCUGUGUUUGACAAGAACUUCUAAAAUAUUCUCUUGUUCUGAGUGCUGCCUACGCUUCCUCACCUAUACACACAGAGACUGCCCUAAGGGUGACCCAGGAAGCUGGAAGCAGCCCCAGCACCCCCACCUCAGGCAUUGCUCCACUUUCAGUAGUAAAUCUAACUAAUGCGUGUCUA